rnacentral:rRNA from 1 species
GAUGAACGCUGGCGGCGUGCCUAAUACAUGCAAGUCGAGCGAACAGACGAGGAGCUUGCUCCUCUGACGUUAGCGGCGGACGGGUGAGUAACACGUGGAUAACCUACCUAUAAGACUGGGAUAACUUCGGGAAACCGGAGCUAAUACCGGAUAAUAUAUUGAACCGCAUGGUUCAAUAGUGAGAGACGGUUUUGCUGUCACUUAUAGAUGGAUCCGCGCCGCAUUAGCUAGUUGGUAAGGUAACGGCUUACCAAGGCAACGAUGCGUAGCCGACCUGAGAGGGUGAUCGGCCACACUGGAACUGAGACACGGUCCAGACUCCUACGGGAGGCAGCAGUAGGGAAUCUUCCGCGAUGGGCGAAAGCCUGACGGAGCAACGCCGCGUGAGUGAUGAAGGUCUUCGGAUCGUAAAACUCUGUUAUUAGGGAAGAACAAAUGUGUAAGUAACUAUGCACGUCUUGACGGUACCUAAUCAGAAAGCCACGGCUAACUACGUG